rnacentral:rRNA from 1 species
AAAGCCGGGGCAACCUGGUGAGUAAAGUGGCGUACGGGUGAGUAACACGUGGAUCAUCUACCUUCUAGUGGGGAAUACCGUUGGGAAACCGACGACAAUACCGCAUAAGCUCGAGAGAGGAAAGCAGAAAUGCGCUGGAAGAGGAGUCCGCGGCUGAUUAGCUAGUUGGUGAGGUAACGGCCCACCAAGGCAUUGAUCAGUAGCCGGCCUGAGAGGGCACACGGCCACACUGGCACUGAAACACGGGCCAGACUCCUACGGGAGGCAGCAGUGGGGAAUCUUGCACAAUGGGGGAAACCCUGAUGCAGCGACGCCGCGUGAGCGAUGAAGCCCUUCGGGGUGUAAAGCUCUUUCGGCAGGGAAGAUUAUGACGGUACCUGCAGAAGCAGCUGCGGCUAACUACGUGCCAGCAGCCGCGGUAAUACGUAGGCAGCAAGCGUUGUUCGGAGUUACUGGGCGUAAAGGGUGUGUAGGCGGCCUUGUAAGUUUGGUGUGAAAUCUCCCGGCUUAACUGGGAGGGUGCGCUAAAGACUGCAGGGCUAGAGUACGGGAUGGGAGAGUAGAAUUCCUGGUGUAGCGGUGAAAUGCGUAGAUAUCAGGAGGAAUACCUGUGGUGUAGACGGCUCUCUGGACCGUAACUGACGCUGAGACACGAAAGCGUGGGUAGCAAACAGGAUUAGAUACCCUGGUAGUCCACGCCCUAAACGAUGCAUAUUUGGUGUGGGUCAUUCAGUUGAUCUGUGCCGGAGCUAACGCGUUAAAUAUGCCGCCUGGGGAGUACAGUCGCAAGGCUGAAACUCAAAGGAAUUGACGGGGGCCCGCACAAGCGGUGGAGCAUGUGGUUC